CCUACGGGAGGCAGCAGUGAGGAAUAUUGGUCAAUGGGCGCGAGCCUGAACCAGCCAAGUAGCGUGAAGGAUGACUGCCCUACGGGUUGUACACUUCUUUUAUAAAGGAAUAAAGUGAGGCACGUGUGCCUUUUUGUAUGUACUUUAUGAAUAAGGAUCGGCUAACUCUGUGCCAGCAGCCGCGGUAAUACGGAGGAUCCGAGCGUUAUCCGGAUUUAUUGGGUUUAAAGGGAGCGUAGAUGGGUUGUUAAGUCAGUUGUGAAAGUUUGCGGCUCAACCGUAAAAUUGCAAUUGAUACUGGCAGUCUUGAGUACAGUUGAGGUAGGCGGAAUUCGUGGUGUAGCGGUGAAAGGCUUAGAUAUCACGAAGAACCCCGAUUGCGAAGGCAUCUUACCGGCGCCCUACUGACGCUGAGGCACGAAAGCGUGGGUAUCGAACAGGAUUAGAUACCCGAGUAGUC
rnacentral:rRNA from 1 species